rnacentral:lncRNA from 1 species
AGGGACAGAAGGCAGAGUCAGGCAGGGACAGUGGCGUGGAAGACAGAAGACAGUCACGAGCCCGGGAGCGGCAGAAAAGACCAGCGCUUCCCAUCUCCACGUCUGGGCUGUCUUCCGUGGGAGCUGGUCUCAACACCUUGCUCCCAGCUCGUCUAAAAAUAGUCCUCACCUGCUGCCGCUUUUCCACCGUUUCCUUCAGCAGAUGCAGGAGAAGCCGUGAGAAGCUGCUCAGCGCUUGGUUCCUGGGCUGGAGGUUGGGGGAGAAAAGCUACUGCCAUUUUGGCUUUGGAAGACAGCUGCCCCCAGUGCCCACCGCUGCCACCCAGUGCUACUGGAAAUGGAGGAGCUGAGACAGCUUCUGGGGAUCCUGGCAGAAAAGGCAUCACUGUCUGGGUUCUCGGCAUCAGUCACGGAAGUAAAUCAAGCUUUGGUUUGGGUGGAAUUGAACAUCAUUGGUCCCAAGCUCACCGGGGGCACUCGUUUCUCCUGUGUC